AGAGCGAACGCUGGCGGCAGGCCUAAUACAUGCAAGUCGAACGGACCCUUCGGGGUUAGUGGCGGACGGGUGAGUAACACGUGGGAACGUGCCCUUUGGUUCGGAACAACUCAGGGAAACUUGAGCUAAUACCGGAUGUGCCCUUCGGGGGAAAGAUUUAUCGCCAUUGGAGCGGCCCGCGUCUGAUUAGCUAGUUGGUGGGGUAAAGGCCCACCAAGGCUACGAUCAGUAGCUGGUCUGAGAGGAUGAUCAGCCACACUGGGACUGAGACACGGCCCAGACUCCUACGGGAGGCAGCAGUAGGGAAUCUUGCGCAAUGGGCGAAAGCCUGACGCAGCCAUGCCGCGUGAAUGAUGAAGGUCUUAGGAUUGUAAAAUUCUUUCAGCGGGGACGAUAAUGACGGUACCCGCAGAAGAAGCCCCGGACUAACUUCGCGCCAGCAGCCGC
rnacentral:rRNA from 1 species